CAUUAGGUAUUUCUCCUAAUGCUGUACCUCCCCUAUCCCCCUCCGACAGGCCCUGGUGUGUGAUGUUUCCCUCCCUGUGGGAAUGACAAUUUGAAGUGCUGAAAGAAAGCAACUGCCAAUCUAGAAUUCUACAUGCAGUAAAAUUGUCUUCAAAAUUCUAAGUGAAACAAAAAUGUCUUCUGGCAAAAACUGAAAGAAUUCAUCACCAGCAGGCCUGCAAUACAAGAAACACUGAAAGAGCUUCUCUGGAAAGAUUGAAGUAUUUCAGAGAGAAACAUGGAAAUACAGGACAGAAUGAACAACAACAAAUAGGAAUCUGCUGCGGCCUCCUGGAGAAAAUAACCUAUCCUCAAUGCUGAGAAGACGCUUGAAUUAAAUCGUCCUUAAAUACAGAAGAGGCGGCAGGAAAGUCAGAAGCAGAGAGACGGCACCCGGAGAAAGAUUCAACCAGCCAUUGCCAGGUUUGAAGAUAGAGGAAGAGGCCAUGAACCAAGGAAUGAAGGCAGCCUCUAGAAGCUGGAAAAAGCUCAAAAACACAUCCUCCCCUUGAGCCUCCAGGAGGAACUCAGCCUUGCCAACACCGUGAUGUUAGCCCAGUGAGACCUACCUCAGGCUUCUGACCUCCAAAAUCGUAAGUUAAUACAUUUUUAUUGUUUUAAACAACGAAAUUUGAGGUAAUUUGCUAUAGCAGCAGAUGAAUACAAGUGUUUAAAUGCUUCAGGGCAUUCUGGACUUCUUUAAUGUUGUUGGUCUAAGAAAAGCCAGCACAGUGAGGGGCAAUAAGGUGAACUGUGGUUAAAUAAAAACCUAAUAUAUUGGAGAAGUUGAAUAUCA
rnacentral:lncRNA from 13 species